GAUGAAGAACGCAGCGAAAUGCGAUAAGUAAUGUGAAUUGCAGAAUUCAGUGAAUCAUCGAAUCUUUGAACGCACCUUGCACCCUUUGGUAUUCCGAAGGGUAUGCUCGUUUGAGUGUCAUUGUACUCUCACACUUCUAAUUCCUUUCGGGAUUGGGAGCGGUGGACUUGGGUGUUGCUGCUUUACUGUAGCUCACCUCAAAUGUGUUAGUGCAGCUCUUGGUUGGACAUAGUACGGCGUGAUAAGUAUCUUCGCCGGUGCCUCGCAAAGAGGGUGGCCGAUCGGGAUGUUGUGCUCCAAACUGUCUUCGGACAAUCUCUGACAACUUGACCUCAAAUCGAGUAAGACUACCCGCUGAACUUAAGCAUAUCAAUAAGCGGAGGA
rnacentral:misc_RNA from 1 species